AUUGAACGCUGGCGGCAUGCCUUACACAUGCAAGUCGAACGGCAGCACGGGAGCAAUCCUGGUGGCGAGUGGCGAACGGGUGAGUAAUACAUCGGAACGUGCCCAGUAGUGGGGGAUAACCCGGCGAAAGCCGGACUAAUACCGCAUACGACCUACGGGUGAAAGCAGGGGAUCGCAAGACCUUGCGCUAUCGGAGCGGCCGAUGUCGGAUUAGCUAGUUGGCGGGGAAAAGCCCACCAAGGCGACGAUCCGUAGCUGGUCUGAGAGGACGACCAGCCACACUGGGACUGAGACACGGCCCAGACUCCUACGGGAGGCAGCAGUGGGGAAUUUUGGACAAUGGGCGCAAGCCUGAUCCAGCCAUGCCGCGUGA
rnacentral:rRNA from 1 species